UUCAGUUUCAAACAGCUCCUCCAUUGGCAUUCUUCGAUCCUUGCGCAUCGUAUCCAAGCUUAAACGUCUCCCCUAAGCGAUAACCGAAGGAAGAGAAUUUUAAAGUUCUCAGAACUGAGAGAGGUCUUAAUCCAAUACAACAGAAGAACUCAGGGACCUCUAUCAUGGCGUCGUUUACUCAAGGCGUGCUCUUGAAGCUACUCCAGCAUGCCAGCGAUAGAAACGUCAGGUAAAAUGAUCUUUUUCCAUUCAAUUACUACCAACAGAUAACAUCAUCAGGUUUUUUUUGGUGUUCAAGUAAUAUUGUUAAUGGUUUGGACUUUGGAGUGUCAAACAAUGUUGACAAAAUAUAAGUGGUGUCCAAGUAAUUAUCCCUUAGAUUAUAUGUAGUUGAAAUUACCUUUCCCACUAACUGGGAUGAACCAAUUCUAAACUUGAAGUCUUGGAAAAUGCAAAAUGGAAUCAGACAAUCUAUUCUAUUAAAUUGGUGCAAGAGAGAUGUUUGUAUUAUCAAUUGUGAUUGUAUAUAAGUUGCUCGUUGAAAUUCCUGACUGACAGAUGUGGAUUUGUCCAUAGCCAAGAAACCUAUGAUGCUGCUGUAAAUGACUUGGGCUGUACACUAGAUGUGUUGAACGAUCACUUGGCUACUUCAGGAUAUUUAUAUGAGAUGUCGUAGCACUUGCUGAUGUCUUCAUGUUCACUUGAUCGAUCCAUUUUGUUUAAUGUUCUCUUCUAAUAGAUUUCAAAUUAUCAAAGAAGUUGUUGAAUUAUAACAAAAUUCAUGUAUGUUGGACCUUUUUAGAUUGAAGAGAUGAUUAAGUGGAACGAUUUUAGGGUGAAAAAAUAAAAAAGAAUCGGUGAUGGAA